UAGGGAAUCUUCCACAAUGGACGCAAGUCUGAUGGAGCAACGCCGCGUGAGUGAAGAAGGUUUUCGGAUCGUAAAGCUCUGUUGUUGGUGAAGAAGGAUAGAGGCAGUAACUGGUCUUUAUUUGACGGUAAUCAACCAGAAAGUCCCGGCUAACUACUUGCCAGAAGCCGCGGUAAUCCGUAGGUGGCAAGCGUUGUCCGGAUUUAUUGGGCGUAAAGCGAGCGCAGGCGGAAUGAUAAGUCUGAUGUGAAAGCCCACGGCUCAACCGUGGAACUGCAUCGGAAACUGUCAUUCUUGAGUGCAGAAGAGGAGAGUGGAAUUCCAUGUGUAGCGGUGGAAUGCGUAGAUAUAUGGAAGAACACCAGUGGCGAAGGCGGCUCUCUGGUCUGCAACUGACGCUGAGGCUCGAAAGCAUGGGUAGCGAACAGG
rnacentral:rRNA from 1 species